rnacentral:rRNA from 1 species
AACGUAGGACACAAGCGUUGUUCGGAUUUACUGGGCGUAAAGGGCGCGUAGGCGGCAAUUCAAGUCAGCUGUGAAAUCUCCGGGCUUAACUCGGAACGGUCAGCUGAUACUGCUUUGCUAGAGUGCAGAAGGGGCAAUCGGAAUUCUUGGUGUAGCGGUGAAAUGCGUAGAUAUCGAGAGGAACACCUGCGGCGAAGGCGGGUUGCUGGGCUGACACUGACGCUGAUGUGCGAAAGCUAGGGGAGCGAACGGG